rnacentral:lncRNA from 1 species
GUCCAGUCAGGUCUACCACCCACCCCACCCCUCUUCUCCGGCUCCCUGCCCCUCCAGAUUGCCUGGUGAUCUAUUUUGUUUCCUUUUGUGUUUCUUUUUCUGUUUUGAGUGUCUUUCUUUGCAGGUUUCUGUAGCCGGAAGAUCUCCGUUCCGCCCCUAGCAGCUCCAGUGUAAAUUCCCCUUCUCCCUGGGGAAAUGCACUACCUUG